GUAGGGGGCGAGCGUUGUCCGGAUUUAUUGGGCGUAAAGAGCUCGUAGGCGUUCAACAAGUCGGUCGUGAAAGUUCAGGGCUUAACCCUGAAAUGUCGAUCGAUACUGUUGUGACUAGGAUAUGGUAGAGGUGAGUGGAAUUCCGAGUGUAGCNNUGAAAUNCGUAGAUAUUCNNAGGAACACCAAUAGCGAAGGCAGCUC
rnacentral:rRNA from 1 species